AAUGAACGCUGGCGGCAGGCCUAACACAUGCAAGUCGAGCGGAGCGGCGGACGGGUGAGUAAUGCCUAGGAAUCUACCUGGUAGUGGGGGAGAACGUCAGGAGACGAGAGCUAAUACCGCAUACUCUCAGCUGAGCCUCGGUCGGGGUAGCAAGUUGGUGGGGUAAAGGCCUACCAAGGCGAUGAUCCGUAACCGGUCUGAGAGGAGGAUCAGUCACACUGGAACGGAGACACGGUCCAGACUCCUACGGGAGGCAGCAGUGGGGAAUAUUGGACAAUGGGCGAAAGCCUGAUCCAGCCAUGCCGCGUGUGUGAAGAAGGUCUUCGGAUUGUAAAGCACUUUAAGUUGGGAGGCGUUACCAACAGAAUAAGCACCGGCUAACUUCGUGCCAGCAGCCGCGGUAAUUC
rnacentral:rRNA from 1 species